CAGACCUGAUGUCGCCACCUCCU
rnacentral:siRNA from 1 species